rnacentral:lncRNA from 1 species
UUUUUUUUCUUUGUGGUAUCUAGCUCUUUCUUUGAUCUGUUUGGAUUUAUUGGGGUUUACAGUGUGCAGAUUGAUCCUUUUCCAAAUAGCUAACUGAUUGCACCAGCAUAUCUUAUUCGAUAACCUUCUUUUCCUCCCAUAUAGGAAUGUCCUACUUAUCCUAUAUUACAUUUUUAGAAUAAAUGAGUUUAGAAUAAGUUUUUAUUUAUUUAUUUAUUUUUAAAGAAGUUUGGCUUUGAUUUAUUUUAUUUUUGCUUUUUAGGGCUGCACCAGUGGCAUCUGGAAAUUCCCAGGCUAAGGGUCGAAUUGAAGCUGCAGCUGCAGGCCUACAACUGCCUCAGCAAUGCCAGAUCUGAGCCGUGUCUGUGACCUAUACCACAGCUCAUGGUAAUGCUGGAUCCCUAAUCCACUGAGAAAGGCCAGGGCUCCAACCUGCAUCCUCAUGGGUACUAGUCAGGUUUGUUACCACGGAGCCACAACAGGAACUCCAAGCAUUGUUUUUAGGUUACCUAUUCUGUUACACUGACCUGUUUUUUUUUUUUUUCCUUGUAUCUGUAUCACACUGUUUUAUCAAUCAUAGCUUUUUCAUAUGCUUAAGUAGCCUCUCAAUUUCAACAAUACUGGGGUUUCUUUCACCUAUUCAUUUUUCAAGUGACUCUGAGAACCAUUCCAUAAAGUUCAGAACAACAAUGACCAAUUGCGAUUUAAAAUUCAAAUAUCACCGAAACAUUUGAGAAGACAACAUAGUCUUUCUAACCGCCCUGAGGGCUCGUCUCUCUAUCUAUGCAUCUCCUUUUAUAGUUUGUGGGAGUGUUUCAUAGUUUCUCAUAUGCAUUGUUUAGCUGUCUCUAAAAUUAUGUGACUGGAUGCCUAGAGAAGUAGAAACAAUAAGGCAAAAAAUAAAUUUGGAUACAUUAAACAUAAUACCACCAUUUUUUUUUUUUAGUGAGAGAAGCUACCUUUUGACGCGUGCUAUGACCAUGGUGGCUAUGGGAUCAGCCUUUAAGUGAGUCAAGUGAGGAAAAUAAUUUGCCUUGUUAUUGUACACAUCGUGCAGGUGUAUGUGCAUGUUUUGUACAUAUUUACACAAAGAUGGGGUAGGGGUUGAGCCCUCUACAAUCUAGAUUAUCAUGAUAGGCGGGAAUGGAGUGAGCAGAGGAAUGGAAGGCAGAUAGAUGUUAACUGCCACCCCUCCCCCACCCCCAUACACACAAAAAAAGAAAAAGAAAGUUGCUGAAGUUGGCAGUUACCUCUAUGGUGGCUGCUGGUUACUCAGUUGCCUUUUUAGUUCCAGAAGCAGUCCUAGGAGGCCCAUGGAGGCACCCGUCAGGAGGGUGGGGCUGGGGCUCACUACUGCAGCACAUUCCACUCCUCUCCACCUAUGAGGGCGUAGGGGAGGCAAGGCUGCUCUGGGCCCUCUUGGGCAGGGAGCUCUGAGGGUGGCCAGUGCCUCCUUCGCCUCAGCCAACAUCCUGUUCCUGGCCAGCCCCUCGCCCCUUAUGGAGAUCUGACUGCUCAGCCUGGUGGGUCCCUCUGGAUUUGGUCCCUUCUCCACCCCCACUCUGCCUGUUUCAGGAAGCCUUCCUAGGCUGUCUCGGUCUGUCACAAUUGGCAUGAAUGUGGGCAGAACCCAGCCCUAUCCUUUGGCACAGAAACAGGCUAGCAGACUUGUGACGUGAUGGGGAAGAGACCCAGCUUCCAUGUGCGCCAGGCUGGGCUCGAAUCCCAGCCCUGCUACUUAUCGGCUGGGCAGCCCUGGACAAGUUUCUUACCCUCUCUGAGUUUCAAUUUUCUCAUGGUAGAGUGGAAGUCAGAGGGCUGGAGUGAGGAUUAGAUGUGGGGAGGCCCAGUUCUGUCCUUGUAUCCCCUGCUAGUCAGGGUCAGAUGCUGAGGAGAUAGAUGAGGGAGCAGACAGAGUGGCCCCAGCCUAGGGCUCCCCCAGGCACUCACGGGAGGGAAGGAGGCAGGAUACACACACCUGGUAGAGCCUGGGUGAGGGAACAUUUCCAGCUGGAGUCACCCCCAAAGCUGCCUGAAUGGGGCCCUGAAGAAAGGGGAGAAAAAGGACAGAAACAUUGUGGGCAGGGAAAUCUCCAAGCAUGGGACAGCAGCCGGGAGGCCUGCCUGGCAGACGGGGGGCUGGCUGGGGUCUGGUCAGUGACAAGCCUGACUGGGUGGCAGGACUGACAAUUCUGGGGCAACAGCAGGGAGGGUGGGGGAGAAAGGCCAUGAGCUCUGGGAACUGGGAGGAGGCGCUGGACCAUCUGAGGACAGAUCUUAGCUCCCUCACCAGGGAUUUGGGGUAAACAAAACCUCUCUGGCUUGUCUUUUUAUGGAUAAAAUAGGGGUAAUUCUAGAACCCUCCUCAUAGGGUUUUGAAAAUAAAAUUAAGCUGGUUCAGCACCAAGGAGCUCUCCCUUGCUCCCCUUUGAGAUCUUACAGUCCUUCUGGUGUCCUGGCUGCUUACAGGGCAGAGGAAAGAGCACUGACUAGAAGGCGUGCGGAUCUGGGUUUAAGGCCUGCCUCUGGUUAGUUGAGUGGAGAUGGGCAGCCUGGAGCCUUCUCCAUGGAUGGUUGUGAGGAUGAAGGGUACUCUCACCUCUGCUACUGUUAACACCCCCACCUCCCACCGGCCGCAGCCUGGGGCUUCUCCGAGCAGCUUGAGCAGUGCCCGAGCCAGCUGCACAGUGUGAGGCAAAGGCCGGCUGCCCAGCCCUGGAGCAGGCCCAGUGUCAGGAGGCUGAGGAGGAUGAACCUGAACGGCUCAGAGCCUGAGGGAGGGAGGCCUGUAGAGCCCUCAGCUUGGGGAGCAUGAGUGGCCUAGUCCUGGAAGGCUGUGGCAGCGUGGGUAGGAUGGUUUCAGAUAUGCCCCUGGCAGCAUGGAGCAGGCAGGAGAGGUGCUUAGGGGGAGAGGACGGGCCAACGAUGAAGCGCAGGCCUGCAGGUUUUCACUCUGCCUAACCUCCAACCCUGGUUCCAGGACUCCAGCUUGGGGAGUGGUGGGUGGUGCUGAUGGCCCCACAGAGCAGAGAGCUCUGCUCCCACUUGGCAGAGAUGCAAAGCCCUCUACUCCUGAGGCCCCAGGCCCCAUUCACCAUGCACAUUCCCCAGAAGCCCAGGCGCCCCACUUGCACUCUCAAACGGAGACCACCGCCAGUGCAGCUCCGCCUUCUGGUUGCUUUCACACACCUUCCAGAGGGUGAGGGAAGAGUUAGUUGGGAUAUGUGUGUGAGAAAAGAGUUAUCUAAAAAUCACCAGGAGGUCAGGGGUUGCACACAGGCAGCCUGUUUUCACUCAGAGGUUUGCAAAUUUGUGAGAACUGGACCUUGGCAACGGAUUCCUUCCUGCCACCUUCCCCCCACUCCCUACUGUGUGAAAUCCAAUUUUUAAGUUUCAGCUGUUAAUUACCUUGAGCUGUUCCUCCUGGCAACCUGUGAUCCGUCACCUGCAGUUCUCUGCUCCUGAGGCACUAACGAAAUUCCUUCCCUCGUAGAGCGCAGGCCCCCUUAAAAGGAAGCAUAAUUUACUGGGCCUUGGAGAGCAGGCAAAGAGCUCCCAGAGCAGAGGGCACACACUCAGUGCCAGGAACUGGACAGCUUCUCGUGAUGGUUAAUGCCAGGUGGGAAAGAAAUCAAGAUUCUUUGUGGCCUGGGUUGAAAGAAGUCAGUUUACAGGCCUGUGGGAGCCAAAGGCGCUAUUCAGAUGUCAGUGGUCCCUCACCUCUGGACAAGCCCACAUCAAAGGGAAGAGUGGUCUUCCUGAGGACCUGCUAAUGGAAUUGCAAGGGAUGGAUCCCAUGCUGGGCGAGGUGAUGGGGGGGAAACAAGGUCUCUCUCCAGUUAUACCAAAGGACAGAGUGAUCCCAUUGGUGGCCUUGCUCUACCUCACUUGGAGUCUGGCUUGGGCAACCCUGAACUGGUCCCACCACCCAGGCCUGUAUCUUCAGGGGCCUCAGUUGCUACUCAGACCAGCAGAGCAUUAGACCUUGACCUAAGCCUAGUGUGCUCCAUCUCUGUGAUGUUGAGACCUCUCCAUCCCAGCUGUUUGUUUCUGUCUUUGGUUCUUUCCCUCCAGAAGCCCGUGUGCUGCACUCACAGCUAGGGAGGCUAAUGCCCCGACCCCUCUCCAGCAAGCAAGCUGAGGCUGGAGCAGGCAGAAGCCAUGUCCCUCGGGACUUUUUCUUGGCUUUGCUGCUGACCCCUCAAGGCCCAGGAAACAGAGAGAGCUCUGAGGCCCACACCAAUGUGGGUUCUGCCUUCUCAGCAGCAUAAAAGUCUGGCAAUCACUUUUCUGGAAUAUCCUUUAAAUACCAUGUCUGCAAAUUCCAGAGCGCUUGCUAGUGGAGAGAAGCAGAAACACUGGGCUGGAGACAGUAUCCAUGGUAAGGGGUUUAGAGCUCUAAAAUCUGGUCUAAAUUUAGAGUCUACAUGUCUGCACUUUCAUCCAUUCUACUCUAAUAAUGUGGCAGCUGUCACUGCCACUGCCCACUGCUGACUCGUCCUGCCUGAGCCUGGUGGCCUCCUCUCUCUACUGAAACAUCUGCACAUUAGCUUGUCCGCCUUUGUCAGGACACUGUGUGUGACCAUAUGCCUUAAGGAACAAGCAAAAGAUAUGAACUGUGUGGCAGAUGAUGCUGUACAAAGCCCUGUCCUGCUCAUACUGUCCGCAGAGCUCUGAGAUCUGAGGCUUAGUUACAGCCAGCUAACCACACCUCCAGCACACAAUACAAAGACAGGAAGUCUGCAUGGUGGCUGGUCACCAGGGGGCGAGCUCACACAGCAAACCCACAGCCUUGCUGGCUCUGGGGGAAGGCUCAAGGCCUUUGCCACCCCUUCCAUGCCCAGUCUUCUCGAUCUAGGGAGGGAAUGAAGAAAAAAUACAGCCCAGGUCAGCAGGGAGGAGCAUCCAAGAGCGCAUGCAUCCUAGAGGUCAAGAUAUAACCAUGUCUGCAACCACUACCCACCCCACCUCCGGCAGGUCUGCGUGGGAGAGCUGCUGAAAGGACAAGCGCUUGUCCAGGUUUUAGUGUAUAUGAAAAUGAAUUUAUUUACACAGUAACAUGAUGCCACAGAGAACACAGCAAAGUACCACAGCAAACCAAAGGGUGGUGCCACCUGGUGACAGAGGGGACCUUUCAUUGGUAGAUUUAUAAAACGCUAAAAUAUGUAAGAAGAGAGGUGAAGCUCCAGGAAAGAGCAAAAGAAACAAGAGUUUCAAAAAGAGAGUAUGGGCAGAACCAUGGGGAAUGAAAGAGAGAGUGGAAUGAGGACUGCCACGCGUCAAAUCACUGAGAAGGACAACAUCUUGCUUCUGCCCUCAUCUCACGCCAAAAUGCCCGGCAUGUCAUCAACAGAAUAUCCCAUCCCAGUGUGUUCACCCUCAACACCCUUUAAAACUUACGGGAACGGAUAACCAAGUAGUAUUUGGAGAAAGUUUCCUGAAGCCGUGUGGUUUAUCUUUCAAAGAUGCUACCCUGAAGCCAUUAGGGCUGGUUCAACAUUCAAGUUAUCAUGAGCACAGACACACACACACUUUCCACACACUAUACGGGCAAAGUGGAUUUCCCAUACUAUAAGAUUUGUAGCAAAAUAUAUGACUCUGUACUUCUGCUAGGUUAAAAAAUGUCCGACCUCUUUUGAUUCCCUGAAACUUUCUUG